AGUUUCUUCACUUCUCUGUACAGCUUGCUCAAAAGUCCUGCUAGGAGCAGCAGCGCCGGCGAGGAGCACGCCAGCCGACAGCCCGAUCGUCCCCUCCCUUUUCCCGGCGAGUUUCAGGCAACCAACAACCGUCAGCAAGAGCUGGACGGCGUCCAGCGAGGCAGCAGCUCCGACCAACGACGCAGGGACGCCGAGCAACACCUACAAAUCGGUUUAGUCAGUUUAGAGCUUUGUGACCAUGGUUUAUUAAAUAGGUCUGCUAAGAUUCAUCUCAGGAGAAACCAAGGAGUAUGAGAUACAAUUUCGAGGAGGAGGAUGGUGGCCGUCAAUCUGAAGAUGUGGAAUGGCUACCCUUACAACACCACCCUGUUUUUUCUACUCCGCCGGACAGGGAUAGGGAUGGAGACAGGGCCUUGACAAUGCCCAAAAAUCUUUUAGCAUGGGACGGAGCUUCUCGUCUCUACUUUUGGGACUCCUACAAAACCUGUUUGCAUCGACUCUCUCUUCGAUUGGGCGAACCUGAUCCAACUUCUCUCCUUGCAGCUUCUCCCUCUAAGGUAUUGCAAGCUGAUGUGCA
rnacentral:misc_RNA from 1 species